AUGUCAGACAAUAGAUCAUGUUACUGAGAAAACCCUCAGACUCUGCAGUGAUGAGGACAGAUAUAUACACCUAUGCCCCAUUGAAACAUGCCACCCUGAACACCCAGCAGACUUAGGUCAGGCCUAGCAGCCCCCAUCCCCCCUCUUAGAACCACCCAGGUCCCUGAUAGAUGUGCUGACCUAUUCCUUCUUCCUCCUCUCAGCUGCUGUCCUUAGCACCUGGAUCCAGUUGGCAUCUCCUCAAUUUCUAAAAUGAAAGUGGAGCUCAGACCGCCCUAUGGCAUGGUGGGGGGCAACAUCACCUUAUCCAUCCUGGGGCUCUCAAAGGAACCUCGAAGGUACACUUGGUUCAAAAAGACAACAGAUGGGUCCAACAGGAUUGUGACCUACAAUGUUCAGACAGGACAGCAGACACCAGCCAAUGGUCGAGUGAUUGUAUUCCCCAAUGGCACUCUGCUCAUCACCAACCUCACCCUCGUGACAGUGAUGAGUACAUAGUGGAGAUUUUUUCUACAGUUGAUGGUCUGGGAAACUAUCAGUUAUCUCUUCUAGGGGUACAUCUGGAAGUCUAUGAUUCAAAUUCCGGAGGAGGGGUGGUCGCUGGCAUUGUGAUUGGAGUCCUGGCUGGGGUGGCUCUCAUUGGGGCCCUCAUCUAUUUCCUGUACAUCAGAAAGACUGGAAGAGCCUCACAAGGGCUACUGGGAGACCCUGGACCAGGAGGGAAAACUCAACCAGCUCAGAAGCCUAGCCAGGUUCUGGAAAAUAUUUGCUGGCUACAAGACCAAAUCCUUCUGCACAGGGCUUGGGCCCCACACCCACCUCCUCUGCAGCAGCCCCUGAAAAUGUCUACCAGGCACUGGAUGUUUCCCAAGUGGCUGUUUAUGAAAGGUUUGCUGCCGGGAGCAAGCCUCAAACCGAGGAAGGUGGGAGGAGUCCCUAGAGAUGAUAUCACAACCUGACUGCUUUCCUUGAUUAAGACGCUGGACAUCACCGGGGUGGAUGUUUAUGAGAAGAUUGUUCCUUGGAAAACUAAUCAACCCUAUAAAGGAGAAAGGAGUCCCUAAAGAUGAUGUCACAGCCUGGUUGCUUUUCUUCACUAAGGGGAUGCUCAUAGACAACUCUUUUGGGAAAAAAGCUAAGGGCAAGGAGGGAAACCAACCAGGAGAAAGAGAAAGAGUCGGGUUUGAGGAGAGGGGAGGCUUCAGGGUGCCAGAGGUAUCCAUAUUCACUUAUUCAUGGAAUAGAGAACUAAACAGUGAACUAAACCAGGCAAGGAGAAGAGGAAGUACAGGGGCCAGACCUGCUUGUGCUGAGCUGUCUGGAACCUGGGUCACCCAGUGGCUUCAUUUGUAGUCCAGGGUCCGUGCUCUGUGAACUCAAGGGCUUCAACAUCUUAAUAUUUCCAUGUCUUUUACUUUCCCCUCUAUCAGUUUCCAAAUAAAAGUUCUUUUUGAAAAUUUCUGUCCA
rnacentral:lncRNA from 1 species